AUGCAGCAUGCCUGCCUGCAUGAUGCUCUGUCGAUUUUAUUAUUGGAGUCUAUACGACGAUCGAUCGACGUUGGUAGCGUGCACUUAGUUGCAGUAGCCGUUGUGGACGGGCAUCCUGUACUCCUGCUGCCCGCCGUAGGCGGCCUGCUUCUGCUCGCGGUGCUCGUGGUACGCGUAGCCGCCGGCGCCGAGCGCUGCCGCCCCCGCCACACCGGCCUCGAUCUGGUGCUUCCUCGCGUGUGCCGGGUCCUUCUUCACCUCGUACCCCUCAUACUGCACACACACGCCAUAUUCAAAGAUCAUGGCGAAGGCACCGGCGGCGAGUGCGCCGACCUCGCCGACGCGCUCCCUGUUCUUGUGCUGCUUCACCUCCUUCUUAUAGUACCCCUGGCCCUGCUCGCCUCCGCCGAAGCACUCCUCGGUGGUGGUGGAGUAGGACAUGGCCCUACCGUCGUUGUGCCCGUAGCCGUGGCCGUGCCCAUGCCCGUGCCUGCCGGAGUCGAAGCACUCCUCGUCGACGGUGUUGGAGUACAUGGUCCUGCCGCCACCACCGUAGCCGUGCCUGCCGGAGUCCUCGAAGCACUCCACGUCAGUGGUGUUAGCGUACAUGUUUGCCCCGCCAUGGCCAUGGCCAUGCCCGUGCCCGUGCCCGUGCUUGCCGGCGUCGUAGCAGUCGUCGGUGGUGUUGGAGUACAUCGUCCUGCCGCCAUCGAAGCACUCAUCGUUGUUGGAGUAGGACAUGGUCCUGCCGCCGCCGUUGUAGUAGCCCGCCAUUCUAAGAGCAGGUGGCGAUGCUAA
rnacentral:rRNA from 1 species